rnacentral:rRNA from 1 species
AACGAACGCUGGCGGCAUGCCUAACACAUGCAAGUCGAACGAUGCCUUCGGGCAUAGUGGCGCACGGGUGCGUAACGCGUGGGAAUCUGCCUUUCGGUUCGGAAUAACUCAGGGAAACUUGAGCUAAUACCGGAUAACGUCGCAAGACCAAAGAUUUAUCACCGAAAGAUGAGCCCGCGUAGGAUUAGCUAGUUGGUGAGGUAAAGGCUCACCAAGGCGACGAUCCUUAGCUGGUCUGAGAGGAUGAUCAGCCACACUGGGACUGAGACACGGCCCAGACUCCUACGGGAGGCAGCAGUGGGGAAUAUUGGACAAUGGGGGAAAGCCUGAUCCAGCAAUGCCGGGAGAGUGAUGAAGGCCUUAGGGUUGUAAAGCUCUUUUAACCGGGAAGAUAAUGACGGUACCGGGAGAAUAAGCCCCGGCUAACUCCGUG